AAUCCCUGUACCGAGCCGAGCCGCGCCUGCGCCAAGCCGAGCCGGUCCCUGUCCUCUUCCAGCCGAGCCGCCAAGACUAAUUUGGCUCCAUCCACCUAAAUUUUGGGACGUCUUGGACCAAGUAAUUGCGGCAGCGCGGGAUUUCUUCAGUAGGGGCUCGAGCACUGCAACCUCCUUCUAGGUUAGGACCUCGUCGCUUGGAAAGCGUACUGCCUCGCGGUUAGGACUCGACAAGUAAAUCUCCAGGGAGAAUGCCGCCACGUAGGGGUACACGCCGAGGAGGUGGUAGGGGAGGCAGAGGAGCCGGUCGUGGCCAGCCGGAGGCGCCAUCUGUUGCACCGGCAGUCGACCCAAACGCACCGGUCACCCAGGCGGACCUCGCCGCGAUGGAGCAGCGUUAUCAGGACAUGCUGCAAGCUGCUUUGGCGCCUUUCCUUGCCGCCCAGCAAAACCAGACCGCCCCUGUUCAGGCCCAGGCCGCCCCCGCUCAGG